ACGUAGGGACCAAGCGUUGUUCGGAUUUACUGGGCGUAAAGGGCGCGUAGGCGGCUUGACAAGUCACUUGUGAAAUCUCCGGGCUUAACUCGGAACGGCCAAGUGAAACUGUCAUGCUAGAGUGCAGAAGGGGCAACCGGAAUUCCCAGUGUAGCGGUGAAAUGCGUAGAUAUUGGGAAGAACACCUGAGGCGAAGGCGGGUUGCUGGGCCGACACUGACGCUGAGGCGCGAAAGCCAGGGGAGCAAACGGGA
rnacentral:rRNA from 1 species